rnacentral:rRNA from 1 species
UCGAGAAUCUUCGGCAAUGGGGGCAACCCUGACCGAGCGACGCCGCGUGCGAGAUGAAGGCCUUCGGGUUGUAAAUCGCUGUCAGUGGGGAGGAAAUGCCGGUGGGUUCUCCCAUCGGUUUGACCUAUCCGCAGAGGAAGGACGGGCUAAGUUCGUGCCAGCAGCCGCGGUAAGACGAACCGUCCAAACGUUAUUCGGAAUCACUGGGCUUAAAGGGUGCGUAGGCGGCCCGGAAAGUUGGGUGUGAAAGCCCUCGGCUCAACCGAGGAAUUGCGCCCAAAACUGCCGGGCUCGAGGAAGACAGAGGUGAGCGGAACUUAGGGUGGAGCGGUGAAAUGCGUUGAUAUCCUAAGGAACACCAGUAGCGAAAGCGGCUCACUGGGUCUUUUCUGACGCUGAUGCACGAAAGCUAGGGGAGCGAAGAG